GUGUUUGCUUUGGCAGUACAUAUACUAAAAUUGGAAUGAUAUAGAGAAGGUCAGCAUGGCCCAUGCACGACGAUGACAUGCCUAGUCACAUAAUGGUAAAGAGUUAAU
ensembl:snRNA U6 U6 spliceosomal RNA